UACGGAGGGUGCAAGCGUUGUCCGGAUUUAUUGGGUUUAAAGGGUGCGUAGGCGGGUUUUUAAGUCAGUGGUGAAAGCCCACAGCUCAACUGUGGAACUGCCAUUGAUACUGAAGACCUUGAGUAUCGUUGAGGUAGGCGGAAUUUAUGGUGUAGCGGUGAAAUGCAUAGAUACCAUAAAGAACACCGAUAGCGUAGGCAGCUUACUAAACGAUAACUGACGCUGAGGCACGAAAGCAUGGGGAGCGAACAGG
rnacentral:ncRNA from 2 species